GUGGGUUGAAAAUCCGUCCCCACCCUUGGCUUUGGCCGUGGCCGCGGGUAAGACUUGGCACCCAGAGCCAAGUAUGUUUUUAAAGAUGUUGGGGACCUCAGCUCACCACGCGCUGCCCCACAUGCAGUGGUGAAACCCAGGCCCCGACAGGC